rnacentral:tRNA from 1 species
UAAUUUAUAUGUAAUUAGUUAAAUUUCUUAAUUUCUAUUUA